GACCUAGUCUUUAUGUCACUGUGAAAAUUGACAAAAAUGUCAAUUUUCUGCAAAAAAAUGUUAAGCAUGAAUCACAGAUGUCUCUGAACUUUCCUGCUUUUAUACAACUAAAUUCUCUCUAUAAGUAGAAUUUCCGGAGGUCCUGGUGUCUACCUAGGAAGAAGACAACCCACUGGAGCAGAAAAAUGACCUGGUACAAUAUCCCUGGAGAUGAGAAAUAAGGAAAUGAUGAAAGCAUAAAAGUUCAACUGAGUCAAGAGAAGGCGUACCCUGAUGUGGGAAACACUGCCCCAGAGACUUGGGUUCCAGACUGAAUUAGAAGGGAGAAAAUGAACUGAGCACCAGCAUCCAUCUCUGUCUCUGCUACCUGACUGUGGCACAGUGGGACAGCUGCCACAUUCUCCUGCUUCUGAGUCUUUCCUUCCAUACUGGCCUCAAACUACCCAUGGGGUAGGGAUCAUAGCUUGGCUGUGUUUUGCAAAAUGAUGGCAGUACUAUUAACAUUUGAAGACAGG